rnacentral:lncRNA from 1 species
GCUCCUGAGACUAACGUUUUGAGACCUUUGAGGAAGUCCUACAAACGCACUUAGCAGACAUCUGUUGGUGUCUCUGGAUUUCUUGCAGGCAGUUUUGUCCUGUGUCCCCUAGCAGACUUCAUUCCCUACACAAAGGAGAGAAAUACCAGCUCACAAAAGAUGUCUGAGCACAUCCUUGCUGUGAUCUGAACCAGCCAUGCAACAUCCAAGACAGGUCUCAAAGGAUUUGCAGUACAGAAAGGAGCACAUGGCAAUCCCUACUGCAGAAGGGGAAGCAGUGGCCCAGAGCAUUGUAUCACUGAGUAGCCAAGUUGGGAACCACACCUGAAUCAAUCGUAUUUUUGGUCAAAGCAGCAGCCAUUUCCCUGCGAGUGCAACAGAUGCCCAUACCAAAGCAAUUACUGUACGGGAGAUGCUGACUGGCUGGAAGAACCUGUUCAUUCUGGAUCUGUAAUGGAGCCUGUGAGGAGCUCAGCUUCCUGGUGUGGAAGAAGGUAAGUGUGUG